CCUUCCUUCCUUUCUGUCUCUCUCUCACUUGCUUCUCUCCUCCACUCAGUCUCCUGCCAAGCAGCUGGCAGCAACUAAAUAUAAGUUUCCAGUCAGGCCCCACCCAGACAAAACCAGCUGUCAAUGGCGGACAUCUAAUUCCCGGGAGCUGCUGCUGCUGUGUAACUGUGGUUUUGCCUGGUUGCUGAGUUCCUGCAAGCACGCGCUGGAAGGUCAUUGCCUUGUCAUGGUGGAGUGGCUUGUGAGUUCCUGAGAUUCCAAGAGCAAUCACAUCUGGAGCUUAGUUCAGGGUAGCAAAGUCAGGUGGAGAUUUCCAGACAAAGAGUGAUCCAACCAAGACUCCAACAAUGGAGCUAGUGGAAAAUGAUGACACAUCACAAUGGGGUUCAUACAAAGGAAGGCUGCAGAAGCGAAGGCUUGCAAGUCAAGUUGCAUUCCGUGCCACUGGACCCUGACCCGACCUGUGGUGGCUGUUCGUGUACCAACCUUCCCAUGUUAACAAAAUCAGUUAAAAGAUUGAUAAAGAAAGAAAGAAGAAGGAAACAGACUGGAAAUUAUCGAACACGGGGAUCUGAUAGUUCUGAGUGACAUUCACCGUGAUGUUGAGAAGCUGAUAUCACUGCAUCAAGACCAUCCGUCUCAAUGAAGUGGUGAAUAGUUGGACAACUGGUUUACACACUAAAAUUGUUGAUGAUAUUUUACUGUAAUUAAAUAAAGAAUUAUUUUAUUUGUAGCUUUAAAUAGAUUUGAAUAGAGUUUGAAUUGCAGUUCCUAUUUUCUUUCACAGUGAAUUGUAAAUCAAAAUACUGUGGUGGCUCGCCCACGCAGCAAGCAAACCAGCUCCAGCAGUCGCAGGCGAGUCCACAGCCAGCGGCAACUGAGAGGGCCCUGAGUGUGGGGCAGAUUUCGGCCCAGAUGCCGACAUCACAACCGCCCCACAAAGAGCAGGGGAUGCUGGGAGCGGCACUUAAGCGCGCGCGGAUUGAAACAGUAAACAGUUCAACCAGAUCCUGUUUGACUCAGUGUGUUGCUUUCACUCGUUGCAUAUCAGCGUGACCACAUUGUUGACCCCAACAGUUCAACGGCAUUCGGACCCAGCAUGAACAACUCAGCUCUGCAGAAUGCAGUUUCCCUUAAACUGCCAACAUUCUGGUCCACUCAACCCCUGGUCUGGUUUGAGCAAGCAGAGGCCCAGGUCCAUGUCAAGCAAAUUGUCUCAGAUGCCACCAGAUAUAACUACAUUGUGGGUGCCCUCGACCAGGAGACAGUGGGCCGCGUUAUCAACUUUCUGCAUCAGACCCCGGCAACAGACAGGUACGAGGCACUCAAGGCCCUGUUAAUCUGCAUAUUUGGCCUCUCCCACCGCGAAUGGGCCGCGUGGUUACCGCAUAUGGAUGGCCUAGGCGACCGCACACCAUCAGCCCUGAUGAGCGACAUGCUAGCACUGGCAGACGGCCAUAAGCCUUGCCUGCUUUUUGAACAGAUCUUCUUGGAGCAAAUGCCAGAAGACAUCCGCCUCCUACUAGCAGAUGAAGACCUCAGAGACACGCGCGGGGUGGCUGCCCACGCGGACAUGCUUUGGCGCGCCAAACAAGAUGGUGGAACCACCAUCGAAAUUAGUGCUGUGACAUGGCCGAAAGCCCAGCCCUCCUGCACCCCAGCAGCGGAGCACCGAACACCCACACCAAAGGACGGCACCACUUCUGAGUCUUGGUGUUUUUAUCAUCAAAGCUGGGGUUCUGGGCCCUGCUGCUGCCUACCACCAUGAUCGUGCCAGGGAAACGCCAGGACCAGCCGUCGCUGAUGGCUACGGCGGCUGGUCACCAUGAUGGCCUCAUCUACAUUUGGGACAAGCACUCCGGGCGAAGAUUCUUGGUGGACAAGGGGGGGCGGAAAUCAGUAUCCUACCCCACUCGAGCCACGAUACCCGAAUGAGAAGAACAGGACCAGAACUUACAGCAGCCAACAGCAGCACCAUCCGUACCUACGGCACAAGAACCAUCCCCUUGCAGUUCAGUUCCAGCUGCUUUACAUGGACAUUUACGCUGGCCGCAGUAUCACAGCCAUUGCUGGGUGCGGACUUACUCCGCGUGCACUGCCUGCUCAUGAAUUUGAAGGAACGACGAUUGGUCAGUGCGAAGAUGUUCCAGACUUUCUCCCUCAGUGAGGCCAGAAACUAAAUCGGAAGCUAGUGAUAAAGGUAGGGAUAAAGGGAAGCAAGUGAAGGAAAAACAUUUUGGUCCUAUUUGUCAUUAUUGUAGGAAACCUGGCUAACUGUUUCCAUCUGAAGAAGAAGGAAAUGGAGGCAGUUUGAGAUGCUUGUGUGCAACACUUUGAAACACCCAUCAAUCUGCAGGGUUCGGGACAUUCAAAGGAAGCUCUGUCAAGAUCAGACCGAGUUAGGAAGGGAUUCAAUCAUUUUAUUUCAGGGGGAUUUGUUUCCAUGAAUGAAGGGUCCACUCAAAUACCAAUAAAAAUUCUUCGGGUUACUGGAGCUUCUCAGUCACUUAUGUUAGACAGUGUUCUAGAGUUUAGUGAUGAGACUGACAUUGGUGAAGUAAAUCUUAUACGAAGUAUUGAGGGCAAUCUUACACCUGUACCCCUGCACAAGGUAGUUUUACGGUCAGGACCUGUUAAAAUCCGACUACGACCCAGUUUACCGGUGGAUGGUGUUUCCUUAUUGUUAGGGAAUGACCUAGCAGGUGGG